rnacentral:rRNA from 1 species
AGUGAACGCUGGCGGUAGGCCUAACACAUGCAAGUCGAACGGCAGCACAGUAAGAGCUUGCUCUUACGGGUGGCGAGUGGCGGACGGGUGAGGAAUACAUCGGAAUCUACUUUUUCGUGGGGGUUAACGAAGGGAAACUUACGCUAAUACCGCAUACGACCUACGGGUGAAAGCAGGGGAUCUUCGGACCUUGCGCGUUUGUAUGAGCCGAUGUCGGAUCAGCGAGUUGGCGGGGUACAGGCCCACCAAGGCUACGAUCCAUAGCUAGUAUGAGAGGAUGAGCAGCCACAAUGGAACUACGACACGGUCCAAAAUCUUACAGAGGGCAGCAGUGAGCAAUGUUAGAAAAAGGGCGCGAGUUUAAUCGAAUCAUACCGCAUGGGUGAAAGAGGCGUGCGAGUUGUAAAACACUUUGGUUGGUAAAGAAAAGCAGCAGGAGAGGACCCAGCUCUUCUGACGGUACCCAAAGAAUAAGGACCGGCUAACUCCGUA